UACGUAGGGUGCAAGCGUUGUCCGGAAUUAUUGGGCGUAAAGAGCUCGUAGGCGGCUUGUCGCGUCGGCUGUGAAAACCUGGGGCUCAACCCCGGGCCUGCAGCCGAUACGGGCAAGCUAGAAUUCGGUAGGGGAGACUGGAAUUCCUGGUGUAGCGGUGAAAUGCGCAGAUAUCAGGAAGAACACCCGUGGCGAAGGCGGCUCUCUGGGACGGUACUGACGCUGAGACGCAAAAGCGUGGGGAGCGAACAGG
rnacentral:rRNA from 1 species